rnacentral:rRNA from 1 species
CCUACGGGAGGCAGCAGUGAGGAAUAUUGGUCAAUGGGCGAGAGCCUGAACCAGCCAAGUCGCGUGAAUGAUGAAGGAUCUAUGGUUUGUAAACUUCUUUUAUAUGGGAAUAAAGUGAGGACCGUGUUCCUUUUUGUAUGUACCAUAUGAAUAAGCAUCGGCUAACUCCGUGCCAGCAGCCGCGGUAAUACGGAGGAUGCGAGCGUUAUCCGGAUUUAUUGGGUUUAACGGGUGCGUAGGUGGUGAAUUAAGUCAGCGGUGAAAGUUUGUGGCUCAACCAUAAAAUUGCCGUUGAAACUGGUAGACUUGAGUAUAUUUGAGGUAGGCGGAAUGCGUGGUGUAGCGGUGAAAUGCAUAGAUAUCACGCAGAACUCCGAUUGCGAAGGCAGCUUACUAAACUAUAACUGACACUGAAGCACGAAAGCGUGGGGAUCAAACAGGAUUAGAUACCCCUGUAGUC